rnacentral:misc_RNA from 1 species
AAGGAGUCUAACACAUAUGCGAGUAUUUGAGUGGAAAACUUUUAUGCGUAAUGAAAGUGAAAAGGUGGGAACUGUAAAAAGUGCAACAUCGACCGAGCCAGAUUAUUGCUAUAUCGACGUGAGUAUGAGCAUAUCUGCUGGGACCCGAAAGAUGGUGAACUAUGCCUGAGUAGGGUGAAGCCAGAGGAAACUCUGGUGGAGGCUCGUAGCGAUACUGACGUGCAAAUCGUUCGUCAAAUUUGGGUAUAGGGGCGAAAGACUAAUCGAACCAUCUAGUAGCUGGUUCCCUC